rnacentral:rRNA from 1 species
GAUGAACGCUGGCGGCGUGCCUAAUACAUGCAAGUCGAGCGAACGGACGAGAAGCUUGCUUCUCUGAUGUUAGCGGCGGACGGGUGAGUAACACGUGGAUAACCUACCUAUAAGACUGGGAUAACUUCGGGAAACCGGAGCUAAUACCGGAUAAUAUUUUGAACCGCAGGGUUCAAAAGUGAAAGACGGUCUUGCUGUCACUUAUAGAUGGAUCCGCGCUGCAUUAGCUAGUUGGUAAGGUAACGGCUUACCAAGGCAACGAUGCAUAGCCGACCUGAGAGGAUGAUCAGCCACACUGGAACUGAGACACGGUCCAGACUCCUACGGGAGGCAGCAGUAGGGAAUCUUGCGCAAUGGGCGAAAGCCUGACGGAGCCACGCCGCGUGAGUGAUGAAGGUCUUCGGAUCGUAAAACUCUGUUAUUAGGGAAGAACAUAUGUGUAAGUAACUGUGCACAUCUUGACGGUACCUAAUCAGAAAGCCACGGCUAACUUCGUG